rnacentral:lncRNA from 1 species
GCGACAUUGGAUGCUGCAAGACCUUCUUGCCUUUCUUAUUAUCCUUAAUUAUUAUUUCCAAGCCAAGAUUUCAGUUUCCAACCUCUACACAGCCCAGGGCCUGGAAGGUGAAGAGGACCCCAUGCUGGGGUUUUGUUUGUUUGUUUGUUUGUUUGUUUGUUUUUGCCGAAUCUGGAAGCCACUGGUAUGCAAGGAGAGUAGAUGCGCGCCCUCUCAAGGGUUUCUCCCAGUGGGGCUGCGAGUUUUAGACUCUUCUGCCCUGCAAAUCUCCACGAGCAGGUGCCGCGAGUCAGAAAGUUAAUCACCUUUUGGCAGGGGAAGAUCAUGACUGACGGCUGCUUCCAGUUCCCAGCGCAGGCUCCUGCUGCUUCUAAUGAGGCUUCGUUAGCAGUUAACACCUGUUGAUUUUCCAGUUUCUACGACGUUUGUCAGAGGGAGGAGCAUUCUCCUAUGAGAAAGACUGUCCCUUUUUCCACUCUGUCAACGUGUGGAUGUGUAUCAGCAAAAGCCAGAAGAGAGAAGAGAGAGUUAUUCCCUGAAGCCCCACCACUGGAUGACCAGGGAUCUCACCCAGGGUCAUUAUGGUGUCAAGUGGCCCUAGAAGAGCUCCAUCUUUGUGUUUUUUCUGGAAAUGAAUUUUCCUGUCAGCUACACAAGCCUAGAGGUGGUUCCCAGUGCUCCACUCCUCUGGGGACACUGUUAACAGCUCGGGCGAUGUAUUCUACACCUGCAUCUCUGCUUUUAGAAACCGCCCCUGCCCCUGAGGUGCUGGUGGAUAGAAAGAGCAUUGUGUGCAGAUCUGCUUCUCAAUGGCUCAGGGGGAAAGAGAAAACAAAAC